CAGUCGCGCGGUAAUACGGAGGGUGCAAGCGUUAAUCGGAAUUACUGGGCGUAAAGCGCACGCAGGCGGUCUGACAAGUCAGAUGUGAAAUCCCCGGGCUUAACCUGGGAACUGCAUUUGAAACUGUCAGGCUGGAGUCUUGUAGAGGGGGGUAGAAUUCCAGGUGUAGCGGUGAAAUGCGUAGAGAUCUGGAGGAAUACCGGUGGCGAAGGCGGCCCCCUGGACAAAGACUGACGCUCAGGUGCGAAAGCGUGGGGAGCAAACAGGAUUAGAUACCCCAGUAGUCCCUGUCUCUUAUACA
rnacentral:rRNA from 1 species